CUAACAUGGAUACCCCUGGGAGAUCACUCCCCUUGAGUCUCUGUCCAGGUGGUGUAGUGGAGCAUAGGGCUCUGCCUUGUGAUGGACAGUCCCUUUCUGCAGUGUUGGAGAGAAAGCUGGACCUUGAGUCUGUACCUGUAUAUUUCUGCAGCUUCUCAGAGUUCUGUGGACAAUGACUGAAGAGAUAAGCCAUGCAGAAAACAUCU